UACAGAGGUCUCAAGCGUUGUUCGGAUUCAUUGGGCGUAAAGGGUGCGUAGGCGGCGCGGUAAGUCGGGUGUGAAAUCUCUGAGCUUAACUCAGAAACUGCCAUGGAUACUAUUUGUCUUGAAUAUUGUGGAGGUAAGCGGAAUAUGUCAUGUAGCGGUGAAAUGCUUAGAUAUGACAUAGAACACCAAUUGCGAAGGCAGCUUACUACACAGUUAUUGACGCUGAGGCACGAAAGCGUGGGGAUCAAACAGG
rnacentral:rRNA from 1 species